CCUGGCUCAGAUUGAACGCUGGCGGCAUGCCUUACACAUGCAAGUCGAACGGUAACGGGCCUUCGGGUGCCGACGAGUGGCGAACGGGUGAGUAAUGCAUCGGAACGUACCUUUCAGUGGGGGAUAACGUAGCGAAAGUUACGCUAAUACCGCAUAUUCUGUGAGCAGGAAAGCAGGGGAUCGCAAGACCUUGCGCUGAUUGAGCGGCCGAUGUCAGAUUAGCUAGUUGGUGAGGUAAAGGCUCACCAAGGCGACGAUCUGUAGCGGGUCUGAGAGGAUGAUCCGCCACACUGGAACUGAGACACGGUCCAGACUCCUACGGGAGGCAGCAGUGGGGAAUUUUGGACAAUGGGGGCAACCCUGAUCCAGCCAUGCCGCGUGAGUGAAGAAGGCCUUCGGGUUGUAAAGCUCUUUCGGCCGGGAAGAAAUCGCAUGGGUUAAUACCCUGUGCGGAUGACGGUACCGGCAUAAGAAGCACCGGCUAACUACGUG
rnacentral:rRNA from 1 species